UCUUGGGGGAGGGGGUCACCAGUCUUGGGUCAGUGGGGUCACCCGUCUUGGGGGGUAGGGGGGGUCUCCCCAGGUGGUGGUGGUGCUCCUCCCCGUCACCACAGAACAGGGUUUAUAAAUCGCCUCUUUCCUGCUUCAGUGUUGUAGAUCCUUGCCUCUGAAAUCGUCCGCUGCGAUGCUUUGGUUGUCAUGGAGAUCAGCCUCAUGUGUCUGUUGCUCUGGAGGGGGGAGUGAUGGGCAGCCUCAUCCCAGAGUUUAACCUUCAAACCUCCCACAUAGAUCUUAAUGUUUGAUCUUCACCUCACUUAAAAUGAACUAAAAUCAAAGUAUAUUCUGUAGAGUUGUAUCAGAUAAUAUGAUGAGGUGAAUAUGAUUCAUAGAGCAGUGUAUUUUAGAUUGUAUUAUAUUUAAUUGUUAAUUGUCAUUGUGCAGAUAUAACAAAUGCAGUUAGCGUCUCACCAGAAGAGCAGGGAAGCAGGGCAGGAUACGUACUGGAAUGAUAUUGAUUAUAAGUAUGGAGUAUAAUGCGGAUAUAUACAGUAUAUGUACAAUACAUUAAAAGAGCAGUAUAGAUAUGGAUCUGUAGAGGUUUAUAGACAGGUAUAUACAGUUAAUAAGUUAGGAAUUAUGGAAGUAUAGUACUGUAAUACAUUAAGACUUACUGGAUAUGAUAUGAUUGAAAUAUUUAUGCCUGGAACAGAUAGAUAUAGAUAUACUUUAUGUGGAAUGUAUACUUUGUGUUCGAACAAUUUUUCACCUCAUUUAUCAACCAGACUCUAAUAAGCUCCAUUCUCAAUCUGUUUUGUGGAAUGCACUCUGAGAAAUAUUGAUUUUCAUCAAUGUGUUUAGAGAUUCAGAACUGUGCCACUGAUGGCAUAUUUAUUAUUAUUAUUAUAUAUGUUGUUUGAGUUCAUAAACAAAGCUACCAAAGUGAAUCUCACCAGGAAGAGAACGUUAUAUACAUAACAAAAUGUAUAUAUAUACAUAUACAUAUACAUAUGUAUACUACAUCACGUUGUCAAACCUUAGUACGACUCAGAAAAAAUAAAAACACCUCUUUGUACAA
ensembl:lncRNA